rnacentral:rRNA from 1 species
UACGAAGGGGGCUAGCGUUGUUCGGAUUUACUGGGCGUAAAGCGCACGUAGGCGGAUCUUUAAGUCAGAGGUGAAAUCCCAAGGCUCAACCUUGGAACUGCCUUUGAUACUGGGGAUCUUGAGUCCGGGAGAGGUGAGUGGAACUGCGAGUGUAGAGGUGAAAUUCGUAGAUAUUCGGCGGAACACCAGUGGCGAAGGCGACUCACUGGCCCGAUACUGACGCUGAGGCGCGAAAGCGUGGGGAGCAAACAGG